CAUUAAGAAGCUAUGCGACAGCACUAGCCUUUUAAGCUAGAGACAGAGGACUGAUCCCUCCUUAAUGA
rnacentral:tRNA from 1 species